rnacentral:rRNA from 1 species
AGAGUUUGAUCAUGGCUCAGAACGAACGCUGGCGGCAGGCUUAACACAUGCAAGUCGAACGCACUCUUCGGAGUGAGUGGCAGACGGGUGAGUAACGCGUGGGAACGUACCCUUCAGUUCGGAAUAACCCAGGGAAACUUGGGCUAAUACCGGAUACGUCCGUAAGGAGAAAGAUUUAUCGCUGAAGGAUCGGCCCGCGUCGGAUUAGCUAGUUGGUGGGGUAACGGCCCACCAAGGCGACGAUCCGUAGCUGGUCUGAGAGGAUGAUCAGCCACACUGGGACUGAGACACGGCCCAGACUCCUACGGGAGGCAGCAGUGGGGAAUAUUGGUCAAUGGGCGCAAGCCUGAACCAGCCAUGCCGCGUGAGUGAAGAAGGCCUUAGGGUUGUAAAGCUCUUUCAGCGGGGACGAUAAUGACGGUACCCGCAGAAGAAGCCCCGGCUAACUUCGUGCCAGCAGCCGCGGUAAUACGAAGGGGGCUAGCGUUGUUCGGAAUUACUGGGCGUAAAGCGCGCGUAGGCGGAUAUUUAAGUCAGGGGUGAAAUCCCAGGGCUCAACCCUGGAACUGCCUUUGAUACUGGAUGUCUGGAGUUCGGGAGAGGUGAGUGGAAUUCCGAGUGUAGAGGUGAAAUUUGUAGAUAUUCGGAGGAACACCAGAAGCGAAGGCGGCUCACUGGCCCGAUACUGACGCUGAGGCGCGAAAGCGUGGGGAGCAAACAGGAUUAGAUACCCUAGUAGUCC